CCCUGCUAAACUCAGUGGUUAGAGUAUUGUUUUCAUACGACAAGAGACAUUGGUUCGAAUCCAAUAGUAGGUU
rnacentral:tRNA from 1 species